UUGACCUCAAAUCAGGUAGGACUACCCGCUGAACUUAAGCAUAUCAAUAAGCGGAGGAAAAGAAACUAACAAGGAUUCCCCUAGUAACUGCGAGUGAAGCGGGAAAAGCUCAAAUUUAAAAUCUGUGGGUCCUUGCGGCCCUCCGAGUUGUAAUCUAGAGAAGUGCUAUCCGCGCUGGACCGUGUACAAGUCUCCUGGAACGGAGCGUCAUAGAGGGUGAGAAUCCCGUCUUUGACACGGACUACCAGGGCUUAUGUGAUGUGCUCUCAAAGAGUCGAGUUGUUUGGGAAUGCAGCUCUAAAUGGGUGGUAAAUUCCAUCUAAAGCUAAAUAUUGGCGAGAGACCGAUAGCGAACAAGUACCGUGAGGGAAAGAUGAAAAGAACUUUGGAAAGAGAGUUAAACAGUACGUGAAAUUGUUGAAAGGGAAACGCUUGAAGUCAGUCGCGUUGGCCAGGAAUCAACCUUGCUUUUGCUUGGCGUACUUUCUGGUUAACGGGUCAGCAUCAAUUUUGAUCGGUGGAUAAAGGUCAGAGGAAUGUGGCAUCUUCGGAUGUGUUAUAGCCCUUGGUCGCAUACAUCGGUUGGGAUUGAGGAACUCAGCACG
rnacentral:rRNA from 1 species